GGACGAGAAGCUUGCUUCUCUGAUGUUAGCGGCGGACGGGUGAGUAACACGUGGAUAACCUACCUAUAAGACUGGGAUAACUUCGGGAAACCGGAGCUAAUACCGGAUAAUAUUUUGAACCGCAUGGUUCAAAAGUGAAAGACGGUCUUGCUGUCACUUAUAGAUGGAUCCGCGCUGCAUUAGCUAGUUGGUAAGGUAACGGCUUACCAAGGCAACGAUGCAUAGCCGACCUGAGAGGGUGAUCGGCCACACUGGAACUGAGACACGGUCCAGACUCCUACGGGAGGCAGCAGUAGGGAAUCUUCCGCAAUGGGCGAAAGCCUGACGGAGCAACGCCGCGUGAGUGAUGAAGGUCUUCGGAUCGUAAAACUCUGUUAUUAGGGAAGAACAUAUGUGUAAGUAACUGUGCACAUCUUGACGGUACCUAAUCAGAAAGCCACGGCUAACUACGUGCCAGCAGCCGCGGUAAUACGUAGGUGGCAAGCGUUAUCCGGAAUUAUUGGGCGUAAAGCGCGCGUAGGCGGUUUUUUAAGUCUGAUGUGAAAGCCCACGGCUCAACCGUGGAGGGUCAUUGGAAACUGGAAAACUUGAGUGCAGAAGAGGAAAGUGGAAUUCCAUGUGUAGCGGUGAAAUGCGCAGAGAUAUGGAGGAACACCAGUGGCGAAGGCGACUUUCUGGUCUGUAACUGACGCUGAUGUGCGAAAGCGUGGGGAUCAAACAGGAUUAGAUACCCUGGUAGUCCACGCCGUAAACGAUGAGUGCUAAGUGUUAGGGGGUUUCCGCCCCUUAGUGCUGCAGCUAACGCAUUAAGCACUCCGCCUGGGGAGUACGACCGCAAGGUUGAAACUCAAAGGAAUUGACGGGGACCCGCACAAGCGGUGGAGCAUGUGGUUUAAUUCGAAGCAACGCGAAGAACCUUACCAAAUCUUGACAUCCUUUGACAACUCUAGAGAUAGAGC
rnacentral:rRNA from 1 species